GUGCUUAGAGCCAAAAGGAUGUUUCCAGAGUGUCUUUUGUCUCCCAUUUUCUGAGUGUAUAAAAGUAAUUUUUUUGAAACAGAACCCUCGGUGAGGUAUAAGAAUAAGUGCACCUUGCAAAAGGACUGGUUUUCAGAUUUAAGACUAUUUCAUAGUAGACAUGCUUCAACAUAUUUGCACAUCUCAGAACAUGCUACAUUUGCUGUCAUGUAUUGUGAUUAGCCUGUUUCUGUGUUUAACCCAUAGCAUGUGGAAUUUUCCUAUAACAGUGCUUCAAUAGAAAAUUUUACUCUAGGCAUGUAGGAGACUAGUUAUAAUGCUUUGGCUUUAAAAACAGUCUUAACAUUUCCAAUAGACACACUCUCCUAAGAAGAUAAUCUCUGGGCACCCAAGGUUAAAGUUCCAUAAAUUAUUUUUGCAUUUUCUUCCAGUGAUUUUUAAAUGUAUUUGAGGAAUAGGAUUAACAGUGCCCCUGAUAUUGAUGUCAUUAGGACAUAUAUCAUAUUCUACUAGUAGUAACCUUCUCUAAUAUGUUGGCAUAUAUUUAAGGUAGCAUGUGGCUUCCUGCCCAUCAAAAUUCCCAUUCACCCCCACCUUCUUUAGGACCAGAUUUGGGAGACACUUCAUAUUCACUUGCAGAUAAAUGAGACCAUGUCUUUUUUUUUUUUUUUUUUUUAAUUUUUUUUCCAUUUCUCGGGCCGCUCUCGCAGCAUAUGGAAGUUCCCAGGCUAGGGGUCAAAUCAGAGCUGUAGCCACCGGCCUACACCAGAGCCACAGCAACGCAGGAUCCGAACCGCGUCUGCAACCUACACCACAGCUCACGGCAACACCGGAUCGUUAACCCACUGAGCAAGGGCAGGGACCGAACCUGCAACCUCAUGGUUCCUAGUCGGAUUUGUUAACCACUGCGCCAUGACAGGAACUCCCCUGUCUUGCUUUCAGAAGUGUUUUCCCAUCCUCCCUCCCCUCCUCGCUUAGUCGGCCUCUUGUUGGGUUGGCCAGUCAAAGUCAACAUUAUAUCUUCCCCUUUAGCCUGUGUUCCCUCUGUCCCUUAUGUAAAUCUUGGUGGCCCCACACAUUUCCACAGCCACUGCCACACCUGGUUGGGCACCUGUAAUAGAUGUCUUACUCUUCCUCCUCCUCACCUGAUCCCUGUGGCUGACCCAGCUGCCUCCUCUGGGGAGUCUGAAAACAGCAAGGCAGAAGGAGGGUACAGAGCAGGCGCUGUGUCAACAAUGACUGUCUUCUGACCCAUAUGCCUCUCUCUCUCCAUAACAAACACUGCAGGUGACAUUUGUUUGGGGUAUAAAGCUUUGGAAUCAUUUCCUCUUUCUAAACACUUCUGGGAUUAAAAUAAAAUUAAAAAAAAAAAAAAAGUCUAACAGGAAUAAGAAGGUUUUUCAGGACAGUAACUCAACCACUAUUUCAGUUUGUUUUUCUGUCUCUCCCACCUCCUCACUAUGGCCUCAGGAUCAGUUGUUCUUUUGCUCAGUCAUUUAGUAAACAAUUGGCAACAAGGUUGGUAAACAGUAGAUGGCUGAAGUCUCUAAGGACUUAAAAGAAAGGUGGGAUCUGUGAAGCCAGGCAGAGAUGGGGGUCACUUGUGCCAGGCUUCCCAAGUCCCUGUGUUUUCUGGCUCAGGGAGUAACCCCUAUGGGUUUGCUCAUAAACGUACUUGUUUCUGGAUAUGGUCUGAGAGUCCAGGGACUGAGACGAAACUAAGUAUCGCAACACUUCUGAAAGUAAAAGACUCAUAGAGAAAGUCCUCGUGGCCCCGUGGGGAAACGGAGGCCAAGAGGUAGCAAGCUGUACACACGAAGAUAGCAGCAGGGGCCACAGAAUGUACUGGAAUAAAAGAAAUGCGUAUGUGGUCUGUGCCCUAGUCGGGACCCAGUGAGCUGUUUUGGGAUGAGAAGAGUAGUUAAGAGUUUUUGCUAGACUCUUCUUCCAGGUCAUAAACACUUCCUACCACAGGCUGCCGAGCCCAAAAAUAAAUAUGGGAAGAAAAUCCUUGGCAUGUGUGAAGCACUUUGUAUUUGCUGCCUCCUUCUCAAUCCUUAAUUAUGCUUUGCAGCCACCCUGUGAAGCCAGUCAUUACCACUGGGUGAGGAAACGGAGCCCCACAGGAGCAGUGUGACUUGCCCAAGCAUACGAGCCAGACAGGCCAGGCAGGGCGAGACUUCCCAGUUUCUGAGGCCCACGCCCCGUGUGCAAUCCAGCCUCGUCACUCUGGGUCUUGGCGCCGGGAGUAAACAAACGACUCUUCCAUUGGUUUUUCUUCUGGGGAGCAAUGGGUUCUUAUUCAAAAUAGGAAGAAGGGGCAAGACUGGCGGCUUCCAGUAGCAAAAUUAUUGUGGGAGAGUGGGUGCCACCAUUGGGGGGCUUGAAGUUCUGCUCUUGUCAGUCCCCUUCCUCAGUCAUGUCCUCAGGUUGUUUUCUGUAAAGGUUGUUUUCCACAUGUCUUGCUGGGCAGUGGAAAUUCAAAAAUGGUGUCAUGUGGUCUACUCUGGUGUAUAGAGGUUCAACCGUCUGUUACCAUGUCAUACGUGAUACAUUAGAGAAAGAUAUAUAUGGAGAGACCUGGAAGUUCAGAACAUUACCCCCCCCCCCCGACACACACCCCGGGGGUCAGGGAAGGCUCCAUAGAUAAAGUGACAUUAAAAAAAAAAUCUAGGAGUUCCCAUCGUGGUGCAGCAGAAACGAAUCCGCCUAGGAAUCAUGAGGUCGCCAGUUCGAUCCCUGGCCUCACUCAGUGGGUGAAGGAUCCGGUGUUGCGGUGAGCUGUAUAGGUUGCAGAUGUGGCUCAUAUCCUGCCUUGCCGUGGCUGUGGUGUAGGCCGGCAGCUGUAGCUCCAAUUCAACCCCUAGCCUGGGAACCUCCAUAUGCUGUGGGUGUGACCUUAAAAAGCAAAAAAAAAAAAAUCUAAAAAGAUGAGUAGGUAGGUGUUGGUUGGUUGGUUGGAAACAAGGGAAAAGAGCAUUUGGGCAACUAUGGUAGAGGUUUGAUAAAUGAUGACUGCAGAAUCCACCCCUGUAUUUAAAUCGUGUUCCCUAUCACCUACAGUGUGAAACUGAAACGGCGAGCUCGGCGCUCAACCCCUAUGUCAAAUAAGCUUUCUCUGUGCUUUGAGAUAUCUCUCCAUGCACUUUCCCCAGGCCUCAUGGAAAGCUGAGACCUCGCCAGAUUUCUGAGAAUUCCAAGGUUUGGGAUCAUAAAUGAGAGGCACCAGGGCCGUGUUUCCGUGGUCACCUUUGGUGCUGAAUUUCUGCUUUUUACUGAUCCAUUUCAGUUUAUCUGAUGUCUUUUAGGUACAUGUAUGUGUGUGAAUAUAUACAUACACACACAUACAUGUACAUGCAUAUAAAAUCCACCCCUUGAUUUUAAAAAACCUACUUCACUAAACAUUUUAUUGCGAUGAGGAGAAGAGGUUUUUUUUUUUUUUUUUUUUUUCAUUUUAGCCACUGGGCCAUAAUUCUUAUUGUCUUCCCCCCUUUGUGCAUUUUCCCAUUCUCAUCUCUCUUCUAGUUAUUUCUCUCCCCAUCUCCUCCUUUCUUCUCCUUCACUCCACAUUCCUGCUGGGAAGUUUUUGUCUCUUGGUUGUUACCGCCCUCCUCAUCAAGGUCAUGGCUUAUCGUGGGAUUUUCCUAAGCAAAGACUAUUCCUCUCCUAAAAGAAGGUCUGGUAUCAUAGUGAUUAAAGCAGUUAUAAUUUCCGCUUGUCUGUCUGUGAAUCACUGUGUCUGGGCAUAGAGCAUGGCCCGUGGCAAUAAGUGAAUAGUCAAUAUCAUUUGUUUUAUGAAGUGGUGAAUCAAUUAAAUAGUACUUUUAAAAAGUUUGUCUUAUCCUAGCGUUUGACUCUGCUGUAAUUCUGCCCUGAAUGCUGGCUAAAAGGAAGCCUGGCCAUCUUAGUAAGACAGGCUGGGGGACCACACACUGCCCCCAGGUGUCCACUGUGGUCACCAUAGUGACAGUGACUGAUUGUGAUGCCCACCAGUCACCAGAGACUGACUGCCUAAGUACUCCAAAGGCCACGUUCAUUAAAUCAAAUGGCUAUUUGGUCAGACCUACAAAAGGGCCCAGGGUGAAAGGAGGUAUACCAAUUGAAGAAUGAGGUUUGCCUCUGGGGAAAGAAGAAGAAAGAAGCAUGGGAAUAGGAAGGCACAACCCUAGCAUUUUAUUUCUUUUAAGAAGAGCUCACGUAGCAAUUGUGACAUCUUGGGACUAAGGAUAUGCGUGUACCAGGUCUCUUUGUUUUUGAUGUUUUAGAUAUUUUUUAGUUUAAAAAAGAUUCCCAUCUCAAAAACGCCAAUUGAAAAAGAAGUUGCCCCUGCUCAUGAAGAGACAUUUCAAAAUAGGAUGCUCUUCUAAAAAGAGAGGUAGCUGGAAUCCACAGCCACUCCCCCC
rnacentral:lncRNA from 1 species